AGUUUCACUCUUGUUGUCCAGGCUGGACUGCAAUGGUCUGAUCUCGGCUCACUGCAACCCCGGCCUACUGGGUUCAAGCGAUUCCCCUGCCUCAGCCUCCCAAGUAGCUGGGAUUACAGGCGCCCUCCACCAUGCCCGGCUAAUUUUUGUAUUUUUAGUAGAGGCGGGGUUUCUCCAUGUUGGCCAGGCUGGUCUGGAACUCCUCACCUCAGAUGAUCUGCCCACCUCGGCCUCCCAAAGUGCUGGGAUUACAGGCGUGACCCACCGCGCCUAGCCCCCAGCUUCUUUCACCAGCAGAAGGCGGGCAAGCCUCAGGGUGAGAGGACUUCAAAGCACAUUUCACAUUGCAGAGGACAGGGUUUGGUGGUCGUGGGUACUCCCUUCCCUUCCAUCGUUUAGUUUUUUUCAUUGGGAAGAAAUGGUAAAAGGUGCUAGGACUCGAUGGGCACAUUUCAGGUGGAGGUUGGGAAGGUGGAUAUCCACCUCUCGAUCUUACUAUUUUCACUUUCCACCCCGCCCCAUAGAAAGUGGGAAAACUGGCGCACGUGAAUCCAAGGACACGCCUGUGUGCGCUCGCACCCCAGGGCACCAGCCCCCACCACCCACACCGCAGGUCCUUGAUUGGACGCCUGUUUUCACCUGACUGCCCAGCCCUCCGGUGCUUUCCGGGAAGCGUUUGGGAGAAAAGUGUGUGGCCGCAGUAGUGGAGAGCCCCUGUCUUAGGAUUCGUCACUGCUACGCCCAGACCUCUUCGCCGUCCAAGAGCCUGGGGCCGUGGGGGGCGGGGCGGCCUGCUAUCGGCCCCGCCUCUCUCCCCAGGCCCGGCGGGGCCGACCCCGCCUCUCGCUCCCAGCAUGCCGUGCGACAGUGGCGGCGCGGCGGGCGGAGCCGGGAGGCGGGGAAGCAGUGGCCUUGUGAGCAUGAGGAGCUGCCGCCACCGCCUGCUUCUCGUCGUCCUCGUCCUCCGGGGCCCCGGCGUCGUGGGCCGCGAAUGGCCCUGGAAGAGACGUCGCCGCCCCUUCAUCCGCCUCUCUCUCACCGCGCCGCUCUCGCCUCCUCAUCCUGCGCUGCGGGCUCAGGCGGAACCCGGUUCGGGCGGCGACUCGCGCUUCUCUGGGCGGCGGCGCUUGGCCAUGUCGUGUCGGGGAAGGUAAUGAGCCGCAGAGCCCCGGGGUCUCGGCUGAGCAGCGGCGGCGGCGGCGGCACCAACUAUCCGCGGAGCUGGAAUGACUGGCAACCCAGGUGGGUGACCGGCCCGGGACCCCGCCCCC
rnacentral:lncRNA from 1 species